AAGUUGCUGCGUUGUUCGUAUUUAUAACAAAGUUUUAACCUUUAAUGCUAUAAUAGGGAGUUUUACUUCGAAGCAGGAAUGACACGUCUCCGUCUAUACGACAUGGAGGACACGCAGGAAUGUUUCUACGAACACCCACUUUGAGAAGUGGUGGUUUAAAACUUUCUUUUAAUAAUUACGGCAAAUGCGGCGCCUAC
rnacentral:other from 1 species